rnacentral:tRNA from 2 species
AAUUAAUUAGUUUAAAAUGAAAAUAUAGUUUUGAAGAGACUGAGAUUAUUUAAUUA